AGAUCCAACGAACCAUACCUCCCUCACCUCCCACCGCACACCGCUCCCACCCACGAAAACCGCAUGGCGCUAUCAUUGCCGGCUCGCCGCUCCCUCGCUCUCCCCGCGCCGCGCCAUCAUCGCUGCCGCCCACGAUUCGCCACCGUCCCCGCACCACGCCGCCGCCCCUCGCCUCUCCACCGCGCCGCCCCUCCACCAGCAGCCGUCCCUCACAAAUCGUCACCGCCGUCAUCAGCGCCGCCUCGCCGAUCUCCUCUGCGCCGCCGCCCACGAUUCGCCGCCGUCCCCACACCGCGCCGCCGCCGUCCACGAUUAGCCGCCUCUCCACCGCGCCGCCGCCCCUCCACCAGCAGCCGUCCCUGACAAAUCGUCGCCGCCGUCCCCACACCGCGCCGGCGCCCCUCGCCUCUCCACCGCGCCGCCGCCGUCCCCACUGCGCCGCAUCGGCCUCCAAGUCUCCGCCGACUCCACCGAGCACGACGAGCUCAACACGAAGAGCUCCAAGAGAGGCCCCUCUCCUUCCUGCUCGGGUCGGCCGGAUCUAGGAGGAGCAGAGGCUUCACCGUGGGCUUGGUAGGGAUACCGUCCAGCACGACCUCGGCCAAGAAGGCAGCAGGUCUACGCCACCUUCUUCCCGUGCUGAUGCCGUGUCUGAGCCCUACCUCACCACAAGUACUGCUCCAUUUCUCUUUUUGAAUCACCACCGGUUCUUGAUUUCUUUGUGAUCUAAAUAUUAAAGAUGUUUAUUCCAUUGAUUAAAGAUGCUUGCCAUUAGGAAAUAUAUAUAUAUUAGCUGCACGUUGUGUAGAACUCAAGAAUGCUUAGAGGCACUCCAUGCAUGGGUUGUUUUAGCUGCACAUGUACUGUCCGGCUGUUCAAAUUUGAGCUAUUUUCCAGUUAAUUAUUUAAUUAACUCUUAAUUAUCUGAUUCCUCAAAUAUUUUCCAAUAUAGUUAUUCCUUCAACAAAAUAAUUGACAUAUCAGUUACUUCUUGCGGGUAACAAACCCACCGCCGGAGAGCACCUUUUGUUUUCUUAUUUUCUUAUUUGUCUGCCCUAUCAAGUAGCACGCCAUUUCAAUACUCUUUAUUCUUCCAGCAGUGCACAUUAUUGUGCCAUUUCAUAUGUUAGCUCUAAAUUCACAUGUGUUAGCUCUAAAUUGACAUUAUUAUACAACUUCCAGCAGUAUAUGUCUUGCUCUGAAUUUGCAUGUGUUAGCUCUAAAUUUAAGAUGCUUGAUAUAGAUUGUCCUUAUGAUGCUAGCUGCAAUGACCCCAUUAUUUCAAUGUAAAGGGGGGGGGGGGGGCACUUUACUAUUAUUGUUUUUUGAUGUAUUUAAGACGAUCAAAUCCUGUGCACUGAAUGUUAGGGUCAUUCAGUAUUAUUCUUUAUCUUGGUGAUAAUCUGAAAUUCCGAACUGUGAUCUUCUCCCAAACAAUAUGCUUACAUGUUCCCUCACUUUCAUUUGGCACUAUGCUUAAAUUAUUAUAUCGUCUCAAACAUGAUCUAAUAAAUCAUUGCAUUUAGCAUUCGAUCAGAAUGAAAGUUCUUGAUUAACUUGCAUGUUUGAUCGAUGAAGCCAACAAGCUGGUGAACAAUUUGAUCCUUCGUCAAAUUGAUGCGAGGGCCCAACCAAUAAACCCACUAAAGCUAACUCUCCGAUUGUGUAAGAGACUUACAAAGAAACUUAUGGAGCGUAUGUGUUCCCAGUAAACACCAUAAACUUAUGGAGCGUAUGCGAGGGCCACAGCUUACAGCACCCCCACCACAUUAGGAUUAUCACCAUUGAAAACACAAUCAUUAUGGUGUUUCCAAAUCUCCUAGGCUACUAAAAUAAUCAAAGAAUUCAAUCUCAUCCAUACCCCUUUUGGAGCAACCUUAGUGACUUUGCUCCACCAUCCUAAAAACAUGUUGUAGAAGACUAAGGUGCAGCCAAAACCAAACCCAAUUUUGUGAAGAUUAAAGUCCAUACUUGUCGGAUCAUGUACUUUUUGCUGGCUUGAGUUACCAGAUUGAUAUCCAUCUGGAGGCAAUCCACAUGAUUGGGAGGAUUCUUGUCUUAUCUAAUCUUUGGUUUGGUCCUGAAAACCAACUAUUUAUAAGGAAUUCUUGAAGAAAUUUCUGACAAAUCUUUCAGAAGUAAGAAUUGCUACAAUUAAUGCAGAAAAAAUCUGUUACAUGGCUGUGUCUUCUGGUAGUGAAACGAAAGGUAUUAUUAGCAAGACUGCUACUUUUAUCUGUUCUUUUAUUCAGAGUUUUGUAUUACCAUCUUUUUCACACUAAUAUUUGGUUUUAUUUGGCAUCAUCACUUAAGGGGAUGUUGUUUGAUUUUGAUGACAAAAUUAGGAUCCAAGCUAUUUCUGCGAUUUAGCCUAAUCAAAUUUAAGACCAUGCCUUUCUGAGUUGAUAUUUCAAGCAGCAGACAUGCUAUGCGAUAAAGGUCAGCACAUUGCUAUUUUUCAUUGCUGAAGGUUCUAUAAGGUGCUUCGUGUAAAUUUACGCCAUGAAUUUGAAUUCUGAUUGGACAUUGGUAAAGUUUUCCAUGACUAAAUUCUUAUGCAUUUACCUUACAAAUAUGGAUCUGCUCUCCAAUUGACCACCCUUAUAUUUUGCAUCUUUAUGCAUUUACUGUACAAAUAUGGAUCUGCCCUCCAAUUGACCACUCCUUUACAUUUUGCAUCUUACUGCAUUUACUGUAUAAAUACGGAUAUUGGUAAAUCCUGUGAUGGCUCUGAAUUGCUUGGUAUCUGAAAGUAACCAGUUGAUGCCAAUGGGUCUACGUGCAUAUUUCAUGAUUUUAAGAUUGCUAACGUGAUGAAGAAUUCCAAAAUGGAGUUUUACCUGUGAUGGCUCUGAAUUGCUUGGUAUCUGAAAGUAACCAGUUGAUGCCAAUGGGUCUACGUGCAUAUUUCAUGAUUUAAGAUUGCUAACGUGAUGAAGAAUUCCAAAAUGGAGGUUGAACCUUCUGAGUUAAUGGCUUCUUAGACAAAGCCAACUGAUGUGUGAACUAAAUUGAGUUUAGAACUGACUUUUAUUUGAGUCGAACUAUACUUCAAAUAAUAUAUUUUGUGUUAGUACCUCUGGAUAGAUAUCGAUAUUUAAGAAAGUCAUUUUCCAUAAUUCCCCUAAUAUUUUAGACAGAACAGUAGGCUCAGACUGCAUACUAUUUUCCAGAAUUUUGCAUUUUGAUUCAGCAGAUUCUUUUGUGCAUUUUAGUUUUCUAUGGGCUCGAUUCUCUUGCAGCUAGACUUGGUCAACUAACAAAUUUGCAGGCUUACAUGCAUGUUUAGAAAACUGAGAGAAUAUCGGGCACAUUAGCAAUUCCUGAUAAGAGAAGCUUAGAAUCUUUCAUGGGGAGUGAGGAUUUGAAUUCUUAGUUUUUACCUCAAUUGACAAUAGAAAGAUUUGUAACCAGGAUAUAUAUCAUGAAUUAGCGAUGUUUCCUUUGUAUGGACCUAUGUGUAAUUGAUGAUUUUAAAAAAUACAACACUUGUGAUGUUAUUUUACGCA